UACGUAGGGUGCGAGCGUUAAUCGGAAUUACUGGGCGUAAAGUGUGCGCAGGCGGCCGCGCAAGUCGAGUGUGAAAUCCCCGAGCUUAACUUGGGAAUUGCGCUCGAAACUACGUGGCUGGAGUGUGGCAGAGGAAGGUGGAAUUCCACGUGUAGCGGUGAAAUGCGUAGAUAUCGAGAGGAACACCUGCGGCGAAGGCGGGUUGCUGGGCUGACACUGACGCUGAAGCGCGAAAGCUAGGGGAGCGAACGGG
rnacentral:rRNA from 1 species